GCUGGCGGUGCGCCUUAUGCAUGCAAGUCGAGCGAAGCUUUUCAGUAGUUUACUACAGAAAAUGACUGAGCGGCGAACGGGUGAGUAACGCGUGAGCAAUCUACCUUAGUUACAGGGAUAGCCCGAGGAAACUCGGAUUAAUACCUGAUAUUCUUUACAUUUCGCAUGAAAUCAAAAGGAAAGGUCAGCCGAACUAAGAUGAGCUCGCGUUCUAUCAGCUAGUUGGUGAGGUAAAAGCUCACCAAGGCAACGACGGAUAGCUGGUCUGAGAGGACGAUCAGCCACACUGGGACUGAGACACGGCCCAGACUCCUACGGGAGGCUGCAGCAGGGAAUAUUGCGCAAUGAGCGAAAGCUUGACGCAGCGACACCGCGUGUGGGAUGACGGAUCUAGGUUUGUAAACCACUUUCAGGAGGGAAGAAAAUGACGGUACCUCCACAAGAAGCCCCGGCCAACUACGUGCCAGCAGCCGCGGUAAUACGUAGGGGGCGAGCGUUGUCCGGAUUUAUUGGGCGUAAAGAGCUCGUAGGCGGUUCAACAAGUCGGUCGUAAAAGUUCAGGGCUCAACCCUGAAAUGUCGAUCGAUACUGUUGUGACUAGGAUACGGUAGAGGUGAGUGGAAUUCCGAGUGUAGCGGUGAAAUGCGUAGAUAUUCGGAGGAACACCAAUUGCGAAGGCAGCUCACUGGGCCGCUAUCGACGCUGAGGAGCGAAAGCUAGGGGAGCAAACAGGAUUAGAUACCCUGGUAGUCCUAGCUGUAAACGAUGGAUACUAGACGUAGGAACUGGAUUGACGGUUUCUGUGUCGUAGCUAACGCGUUAAGUAUCCCGCCUGGGGAGUACGG
rnacentral:rRNA from 1 species